CUGGCGGCGUGCCUAACACAUGCAAGUCGAACGGGGAUUUGUUUCGGCAGAAUCCUAGUGGCGAACGGGUGAGUAACGCGUAGGCAACCUGCCCUCCGGCCGGGGACAACACUCCGAAAGGGGUGCUAAUACCGGAUACGAAGUCUGUGCCGCAUGGUACGGAUUUGAAAGAUGGCCUCUAUUUAUAAGCUAUCGCCGGGGGAUGGGCCUGCGUCCGAUUAGCUGGUUGGUGGGGUAACGGCCUACCAAGGCGACGAUCGGUAGCCGGUCUGAGAGGAUGAACGGCCACAUUGGGACUGAGACACGGCCCAGACUCCCACGGGAGGCAGCAGUGGGGAGUCUUCCGCAAUGGGCGCAAGCCUGACGGAGCAACGCCGCGUGAGUGAGGAAGUUCUUCGGAACGUAAAGCUCUGUUGUUCCUGACGAACCUCCCUUCUAUCAACAACGGAAGGGACUGACGGUAGGGAACGAGGAAGCCACGGCUAACUACGUGCCAGCAGCAGC
rnacentral:rRNA from 1 species